GACGAACGCUGGCGGCGUGCCUAAUACAUGCAAGUAGAACGCUGAAGGAGGAGCUUGCUCUUCUGGAUGAGUUGCGAACGGGUGAGUAACGCGUAGGUAACCUGCCUGGUAGCGGGGGAUAACUAUUGGAAACGAUAGCUAAUACCGCAUAACAGUAGAUGUUGCAUGACAUUUACUUAAAAGGUGCAAUUGCAUCACUACCAGAUGGACCUGCGUUGUAUUAGCUAGUUGGUGGGGUAACGGCUCACCAAGGCGACGAUACAUAGCCGACCUGAGAGGGUGAGCGGCCACACUGGGACUGAGACACGGCCCAGACUCCUACGGGAGGCAGCAGUAGGGAAUCUUCGGCAAUGGACGGAAGUCUGACCGAGCAACGCCGCGUGAGUGAAGAAGGUUGUCGGAUCGUAAAGCUCUGUUGUAAGAGAAGAACGAGUGUGAGAGUGGAAAGUUCACACUGUAACGGUAUCUUACCAGAAAGGGACGGCUAACUACGUG
rnacentral:rRNA from 1 species